AAUCCCCUAGGACAUAGCCUGGCAAAGUUCCCUUGAAGUCAGUGGAGCUAUGCCAGCCCAGAGCGGGGGGGAUCAGUUUUGUUGGCUCUGUUAAUAUAGGUGUGACAACUUUCUGACAACGGCACUAAGGGACUUUGGCUCCUGAUUUCAAGCCUAUCUGGAUUUGAAGUCCUCCCUGGACUGAUGUUUUACAUGUUUCCUCCAAAGUUUUCUCCCUUGCUAACUUGCCUGCUCCCUUUCUCCUUAGAAGUUUGCUCUCAUGACAUUUAAUAUUAAUGCUUGUCUCGAGGCCAAGAAAGAACUGCUUCUGCCCAGCCUCCCUCUCAGAUUUAACGAUGUUUAAACCUCCUCGCCGCGGAGAGGCUGUUUUACCACCAGUGUGAAUUAUGAGCUGCACCGCGCGCCUGCCCUGACCACGUCCGAGACCCAACGCCAGGCGGGCUGCGGGGGUGACGCUUUCGCCCACCCACCCUUUCCUCGACGCGUCCUGCAGCCCUCCUAAGCGCACGGCACCGGAUCCUCUUUGCCCUGAAGCUAUCCGUGGUGGACCGAGGACCGAAGGGGCCGGCAGCCCCCGGCAGAUUCCCGGUGCGAAAUGUCCAUACUGGUUAAAAAAACCGGCAUUGUUAGAAGAGGGGAGGCCGUGAGCAGGAGCACACGAUGGCCGGUGCGAGAUGGGGCCGAGCAGCGUGCUCCAGCAUUCCCGCGUGGAUGAGACGGAGCAGGCGGACAGGCCCAUGCUUUCCGAGCGGUUUUGGGGUCUCCAUCAUCACGAGCUGUCCAGCCCUGUGAUGGGGGAAGGUUCUUUUGACAGAGCUGAUUGGGGAAUAUUUGGUCCUUUAGCAAUUUGAUUAUUAGUCUUUCAUUUAAAAGAAUGAUCAGAAAGAGCAAGAAAACCCAAAAAACUUUGUGCAAAACCCAGUUCUCCUCUUGGUCCCGCACCCAGCACAAUGUGUUCUCAUUUCUCAUGGAAGUGUCCACUUUGGGAAUACAGCCAUAGUUCUGGCUGUCCUGCCACCCAUAAGGCAUCCGUGAGCUCAGAUUGGGCCCGUUAGUGCAAAUAGCUGCUCAUUAACACCAAAGGCUAAUUGCGACUGAUUUGUUAAUCAGAUGUUCAACAUGAUGUUGCACAAUUAGGGCUGUGAUGACAAAACGCUGCCAGUCUCGCUGCUCGCUCUGGCAUCUCUGCCCUGGAGUUCAAGGGAAAACCGAUAAGAAAGAGAGAAAGCGAGAGAGAGCAGAGACUGAGCCCUGUGCAAGCUGGUGUCUUUGCAGAGGCCGUGCCCUGCUGCUAUUGUUGCAACAGAGACAGGAAAAACCCCGGAGCCUCUCUUCUGCUAAGCCAGCAUGGUGAAGGGCUCCUUUAUCUUCCCUCGGGUGCGAGAUAAGGUUUCAGUGUUGUCCUGCCAGAGCAGCUUUAUAUCUCACGCAGAUACCUCCCCUCGUUGGAGCAAGCUUUCACGCGCUCAGAAAAUAUUUGAGCAAGACCAUAUCUCCGAAACGCGGGCGCAGCGGAAAGACGCACAGAGUGCAACACGCCCACGCCGUGGGUUCUGGAGCGCCUCGCUGCCCGGGCAAGCACCAAACCGACAUCCUCAGCUUGCGGGUCUGGACCGCGAGGGCCUCUCUCGUCCGAAGCCCCUGUGCAGGGCGGUUUCCCCAGACCGAAUCAGGGCCCCAGCGCUGGGCUCCGUACAGCCUGGGGAACCUGUGCAUUUCCACUGAUAUCUUCGGCGAGCGGAGGUGCAAACCCUGCCCUGCACUGGUGCCUGCUCGGCAGCAAGCAUGCACCGAGCCCAGCCGGCUGCCAGCACAGUCGGACGGGAAAACUGCUGCCGGAGCACCCCGAAACGAAGCCCUUGGUCUCACUCUGUGAAUUCCAGCUGUCCCUAACCCCCCCAGGAGCAUCUACACAGAUAGCUGGAGAGACUUUCCUAGUCUUCUCCAAUUAGUCUCUCUUCAGGGAAUACAUCUCCAGGGGUGGAUCUGUCAUUCUCUAAUCGGAGCAGAUGUGUGAAGAUGUGACAGUAGAUCAGAGCUUAAUAACUACUGUCCUCUAGAAGCAGUCCUGACUGUCAUUUACAAUCCUUCUUUUACUAUCCUUUGCCAGAAAAGUCCAACCCCUAAAUGUAGAACUUUUCUUUCAGGGGAGACACAAAAUAUGCAUUUUGAAUACUCACCGUAAAGUAACACCAAAUGAUAAGAAGAGUAAAGACCGCCCUAGAUCUGCCUGCCUUUUGGGGAUGUAGCAAGAAAAUGUCCCUUCCCUGUUUCAAAGCUUAACGAGUUGCUUUGGUGAUGCAUGAACGUUUUCAGAACUAAUCAAACUUAGCAAAUGUUUUAAUGAGUCAGUGAGAACUGUAUCUCCUUGCAACAAGCCGCUUACUUCAGUGCCUCUCACAUAUAUGUGUAUUUGAAAAGCAUGAGCUGGAUUUCUCCAGGGUGACUUAUCACCAUCUGGGAGUUCGGCUCUUCUCUUUGAUUGUGCCCUGCCGUCCCCUACAAAGGACCCGAUUACACAGGUUUUGGAAGCUCUUCAGUGACAAUUUCUAUGAAAUCCUCACGCAACAUCAUGAGGAAUGUCUGGGAGGAAAAGGCAUAUCAUCAAAAAAAGAGGAUAAAGAGUAAAAGCCAUCCCUUUGCAGAGGCUGACGAGAGAGCUGUGCGCCACAGGGGAUCAAAGCUCUCGGAGCAGGCGGUGGAGUGCCGGCAAUUCGGUGGUAUGGAGACGUACUUCUCCACGGGGCAAAAGCGGGAGACCUGGGCAGCACCUUUGUGCUGGCUGACACAACACUGGCUUCUGGGUGAAGCCCCUGAGAGGGGAAAUAUUUCCCUCUCACCAAAGCAAAGCUGUAUGCAUGGCACAAAAUGCUGUUAAAUCCUGGGGAGGUGACUUCUGGGCUGCCCCAUCCAUCACCGUAGUCCUGAGAGCUGCAGAGCCCUCCUCCUCCCUGCUUGCAGCUGACACUCCCUUUCCCAGCAACUUUUACUACUCAGUAAACAGACAAGAAUAAUUGCAAUUUAAAACCUGCCCAGAUGCAGAGCACUUGCAAAUGAUUAAAAGUUUUCAUUGUCAAAAAUACUCGGUGUAUUGAAAAAUACACUCAAAGGGCCGGUUCUGACCUUAUUUGCGUGGGACUCAAUCCAGAAGAGGUCUCCAUGGAGAAGCCCAGGAGAAUGGAAGGGAUGUUAAACUAAUGGUGGUCUAAAGAAAUUAGCUAGUGCUUAUGGAUAUUAAGCCAAAUAACACACAGCUGAAUAGAGCUUGAUGUCUUUUUUAUAAAAUGAAUAAGGCGUGUAAUAGAUAAAUGUCUGCCCAUUAGUGGAUCUUACACCUUGGCUGAAAAGUCCUACCAAGGAAACUUUUCAUGUCUUUUCUGCUGACUUCACUGGAUUUCAGCUACAUAAUAGAGAAGUGGAAUUCAGCCUAAGUCAAACAGCGAAUGCAGAAGUCGGGACUUAGGAAAAAGAUACAAAAAAAGAACUGUUGAUCUGUGUCCUCUCCGACACAGUGCAGCGUAUCAAACUGGCCAUGGCCAUUAUUUUGUUUAACCGCUUAUCUCCACCGAGGGAAGAGGAAAUUCCCAAGAACGCGGAUCGUUAAAAAUAUUAACCAGGGCCUGGCGAUUAUUUUUGGUAGCUAAAAACUUCCUGAUGGAACCGUUCGGGUUUGCAUUGGACUUCAGCGAAUGUUUUAGAGUGACUCUCACAAAUACCCGUUCUGCUCCCAGCCCCGCGCAGUUCACGGAGCAGCGGGGAAGGGCGGGUGUGCGUUGCUCUUUCUUUUGUUUCGCAGUGCAGCGCGGUGAAGUGCACAGCACUACCCUGAAUGAGCAUUUAGCUAUUUUCUUGUAUCCUUAAAUAAAGGACUGGUUCACAGAGGCAGAAA